AGUGAACGCUGGCGGUAGGCCUAACACAUGCAAGUCGAACGGCAGCACAGUAAGAUCUUGCUCUUACGGGUGGCGAGUGGCGGACGGGUGAGGAAUACAUCGGAAUAUACUUUUUCUUGGGUGAUAACGUAGGGAAACUUACGCUAAUACCGCAUACGACCUACGGGUGAAAGCAGGGGUUCUUCGGACCUUUCGCGAUUCAAUGAGCCGAUGUCGGAUUAGCUAGUUGGCGGGGUAAAGGCCCACCAAGGCGACGAUCCGUAGCUGGUCCGAGAAGAUGAACAGCCAACAUGGAACUGAGAACAGGUCCCGACUCCUACCGGAGGGAACAGUGGGGAAAAUUUGAGCAUGGGCGCAAGCCUGAUCCAGCCAUCCCGCGUGGAUGAAGAAGGCCUUCGGGUUCUAAAAACCCUUUGUUGAGAAAGAAAAGAAGCAGGUUAAUACCACGCUGUUCUGACGGUAACCAAAGCAUAAACCCCCGCUAAACUAGUG
rnacentral:rRNA from 1 species